UACGGAGGGUGCAAGCGUUAUCCGGAUUCACUGGGUUUAAAGGGUGCGUGGGCGGGCAGUUAAGUCAGUGGUGAAAUCCUUGAGCUCAACUCGAGAACUGCCAUUGAUACUAUCUGUCUUGAAUAUUGUGGAGGUAAGCGGAAUAUGUCAUGUAGCGGUGAAAUGCUUAGAUAUGACAUAGAACACCGAUUGCGAAGGCAGCUUACUACGCAUAUAUUGACGCUGAGGCACGAAAGCGUGGGGAUCAAACAGG
rnacentral:rRNA from 1 species